rnacentral:rRNA from 1 species
GACGAACGCUGGCGGCGUGCUUAACACAUGCAAGUCGAACGGAAAGGCCCUGCUUUUGUGGGGUGCUCGAGUGGCGAACGGGUGAGUAACACGUGAGUAACCUGCCCUUGACUUUGGGAUAACUUCAGGAAACUGGGGCUAAUACCGGAUAGGAGCCCCUGCUGCAUGGUGGGGGUUGGAAAGUUUCGGCGGUUGGGGAUGGACUCGCGGCUUAUCAGCUUGUUGGUGGGGUAGUGGCUUACCAAGGCUUUGACGGGUAGCCGGCCUGAGAGGGUGACCGGCCACAUUGGGACUGAGAUACGGCCCAGACUCCUACGGGAGGCAGCAGUGGGGAAUAUUGCACAAUGGGCGGAAGUCUGAUGCAGCAACGCCGCGUGCGGGAUGACGGCCUUCGGGUUGUAAACCGCUUUCGCCUGUGACGAAGCGUGAGUGACGGUAAUGGGUAAAGAAGCACCGGCUAACUACGUG